rnacentral:rRNA from 1 species
GCAUAUCAAUAAGCGGAGGAAAAGAAACCAACAGGGAUUGCCUUAGUAGCGGCGAGUGAAGCGGCAAUAGCUCAAAUUUGAAAUCUGGCACCUUCGGUGUCCGAGUUGUAAUUUGAAGAAGGUAUCUUUGGUUUUGGCUCUUGUCUAUGUUUCUUGGAACAGGACGUCAUAGAGGGUGAGAAUCCCGUCUGAUGAGAUGCCCAAUUCCAUGUAAAGUUCCUUCGACGAGUCGAGUUGUUUGGGAAUGCAGCUCUAAGUGGGUGGUAAAUUCCAUCUAAAGCUAAAUAUUGGCGAGAGACCGAUAGCGAACAAGUACUGUGAAGGAAAGAUGAAAAGAACUUUGAAAAGAGAGUGAAAAAGUACGUGAAAUUGUUGAAAGGGAAGGGUUUGAGGUCAGACUUGGUUUACCAGGCCAGCAUCGGUUUAGAUGGCAGGAUAAUGGCAAAGGAAUGUGGCUUGGCUUCGGUCAAGUGUUAUAGCCUCUGUUGAUACUGCCUAUUUAGACCGAGGACUGCGUCUUUGACAAGGAUGCUGGCAUAAUGGCCUUAAGCCACCCGUCUG